AUUCCGUGAACAUAUUUUUCUAAUCGUAUGAACAAUCGUCUCAGGAAUUUAUGACUGUGAUAAGGAUGUCCUUCGAUUUUUAUAGAAUUAUGUUCGAUAGAAUCUUUAUAGGUAAUUCGCGUCGGUGAAUGUUUAGUAUUGCCUCACUGAGUUUGCCAAUUCAUUUGCUUAUUCGAACGAAGAGAAAAUACAUUUUUUUUCGCCACUAACAGCAUGUCCUCAGCACUGUGGAUUUGGGUUUUGUUAAUAUCAAUUAAAAAAAAAAAUAAAUAAAAAAAUAUUAAUGGAAAUAUUUAUGAUGUAAAUGCGAUAAACUAUGGAGUAAGGGCUGGCCACACUCUUUUUAAAUACAUGUCAGCUAUUUUUAAGGAAAUGGGCUUGAUUUGUGGAGGUGCAGUACUAGAUGCAACACACAUUCUCACAGCAGCUCAUUGCGUAUUUUGUACUCAACCUGAACAUCUCGCGAUAUCAGCAGGAGGACCCAAUUUGCGAUCGGCAUUGGUGGUAACGCGUGCGGUUAAAGAUAUCUGUACAUGUACAUCCAUAUUAUAGGGCCAAGGCGCAACAACCCGAUAAUCUGCGAAGAUGCGCCGUUGCGAAAUCUUUAAAAAGAGUGAAUAUAAAGAAUGACAUCGCAAUCCUCACACUGUAUACCCCCCUACCUCUUGGACAAAGUAUUGUUCCAGUACAGUUGCCUCAAGCUGAUUUUCUACCGUAUUGUCAAAUGUUGGAAUUCGCCGGAUGGGGUCACAAAGAGGAUGGCAGCAGCGGGCCUUACUUACAAUUUAUGGAUUUUACUAUUCGGGAUCCCCAUUGCCAUGAGGGCCUGGAAUGUCCACUCCAUAACAACCAGUUCUACGCCGCAGACAUGUUGGGAAUACAAGGCACAAACCUGGGAGACACCCAGGUAAGAAAAACCAAGGCUGACGAUCGAAACAGACCUGUACAUGUCUUGCUUAGACAAGCCUGCGUAUCACAAGCCUGAAACAGGCCUGACCUCAUCGUCAGAAACGGGCUUGAAUCGAGGGCUAGUGAUGAUCCAAUUCUCGAGGCUCAUUUCAAGCCUGGCUAGGGCUCUGAACUUUCAGUCUGAAAUUAUCAAGGCUUUAGAAAGGCUGAAUCAAUCCUCAUUUUUCCCUGCUCUUUAGUUAUUUAUUUUUUAUUUAUAUUGAUAAGUAUUAACCCUUAUGGAUUAUUUACCACAAGGAUGAGCGAUGCAAGGUACCUUAUUCUCAAAAUAUGAGUGAAAUUUCCUCGAUUAAGAGAUUGAUUUCGGAUUACCUUCUUAACUAUAAAAUAAUGUACUUAUUUUCCCUCUCUUGAAUUCCAAUGGUAAAUUUUGCUAAUAAAUAAAUUCCAUCUCAUUGAUAUCAUUACCGUCAAUUAUCUUUGGAAAUGACAGCAGUCAUAGAUCCAAAAUUCCUUCCAAGUGACUUUGCAAUUGUUUCACAUAUUUUGCAGCUGUCCACUAUUAUAAAUAUUGGGCCAACAUGUGUCAAACGACACUAUGUGUGAACGAAGGUCAGGCUUAGAUCAGCCUUAGAACGAGCCUGGCAGAACCUUCGUUAAUAAGGCUGUGGAGCCUUCAUAAAUCUUAAUUUGGGCCUUAUUCCAGCCAUCGCAAUUUGAUUUUACUAUGCUUCGUUCAGGCCUCUCCACAAGGCUUGAAACAGGCCUCGCGUUCCCAGCCUGAAUUCGGGUUAUCAUUUGCAAGGCUGGAUGAGGCCUUAUCCACGUGUGAAUCCCAAGCCUGAGUAAGCAUUUGUGAGCCUUGUUUCAAGGCUUGAUGAGCCCGGUUUCCAUCGUCAAUUCCUACCUGGGCAGUGGAGGACCACUAGUUUUCAAGAAUGUGGUAUAUGGUGUACUGAUCGGUGGGUGGUGCAAUGGCUUUACCCUGUUUACGAAAGUUUACCCUGCUCUUGAUUUUAUCAAAGCUGUUAUGCUGAUGUCAUUCUGGCAUUAUAACUGCAGUGAAUUAUACUUAAUAAUGGGAAAUAAAAUGAAUAAAUAAAUAAACGUAGUUUCUACAUGAGACACAUAUAGACCAGUGUCAGCCAUUUAUCCUGUGUCGUACUCAUAUUAUUAAUAUUUAAAAAAAUCGGUGUGAUCGUAGUUGAUCUUUCAACUUAAUAGGUAAAUUUUUCGGUCUCAUUCACGUUGAUUGUUUUACUUGAUUGAACUCGAAUUUUCAGUUUGAUUCAAGUCAACACCUCGGCUUGAUUCAAACCACUAUUGUAUUACAACGUUUCGAUUUAAAACAAUUGACUUUUGGUCUCAUAUCAGACUUGAAAUCCGGAUCGG